AAAACUCAACAUCAUCAGUAUUUGAUCGGAUUGUUUUCUCAACAUCAUCAGUAUGAGAUGUGAUGAUAUGGUUCUAGGAUUUCUUUACUUUUGAAGCUUAAUUUUUAUGUAUAUGGUUCCUUGGUCGAAUUCAAUUUGUUCUGUUUCAAUUACAGCUUUGGGUUUUGUCACUUCUCGUUAAUCUUAGUUGAAUUAAACAUUCCUUGUUCUUCAAAUUUCUGAUCGAGUUAAUUUAGUUAUGGUAUCAGAAUUAACAAUGAAGGUUGAUGGAAGUAAUUAGGAUAACAGGAAGGUUGGAAUAUGGUUUUCAAGUUAACAGAUGGGGUUAAAGGAUAACAGGAAUGGUUGGAAUGGUUUUCAAUUACAGCUUUGGGAUGGUUUGUUGAAACUCAACAUCAUCAGUAUUAGAUGUGAUGUAAAGGAUUUUAGGAUUUGGUUAUUUUUGAAACUCAAUUUAUGUUUAUGGUUUGUUGAUCGAAUUCAAUUCAAUAAUAAGAACAGGAAGGUUCAACAUCCUCACUCUACUUCAGUUCUGCAGAAGUUAGAAACUUUUCAAUGAAGAAGACGACUGUUGAUUCAGAUUCAAGUCAGCGACUCAGACAGUAGCUGGUGAGUAAUUCAUGGGUCGCGCAUACGUCUAAGAACUAGUGCUAUUUUAGCAAAAAAUUUUACAAAGUACCCGGCUCGUCGCACUUUUCUUCGGCUUGUCGUUGUUGCUUCGCACAAGGUUCGCACAAGUUUCGAAGAAUUCAUGGUACUUUUUUAAGAGCCGAUCUCGGCUUGUAGCCUUUUGUCGAACGCAUAUCGCACAAGGUUCCAAGAACUGAUGGUACUUUUUGAUUAUUGAUAUGCCUUGGUUGUUAUGCAACCAUGAACUUUAAUAUUCUUCACCGUUUAUUCUUGUCAGCUUGUUCAGUUAUAUGCUUAUAUUGCCAUUCCAUGUUUCUGAAUGUGCUGAAAGUCAUUGAUAUAGCCGAAGUUGUUCGUUAUGCUCCUGAGUGUUUACUGGGAAUGUCCUCUAAGUCAGAUAAACAUGGAUCAUCAAGGACUUCCUUUACCAUGUCUAAUGAUGGUUCUCAAUUGGCUGAACCUGAAGACACUAGUGUAAUUAAUUCACUGUCACAUAAUAUGAAGUUAGGGUUCUGAGAGAGAAGUCAAUGGGAUCUGUGGUGUUUUAAUGGGGAUGCUAUACAUACAUGGAAGAGUGAUGGUGUUGUUGAAUGAAGAACAUGAAGGGGUUUUGCCUGUGGUUUCACUGUGGUGGUGGCUGUGAAAGACAUGGAAAUGAUGUUCUGAAAAGUGUACAGACAGGGUGUUGCUGAUUGGUGGGGGAGGAACAGUGGGCCUAUCUGCAAUCCAGCCUGCAGUAGCUACAGGUUGCCAUGUAUCAACUACAUGUGGAGUUCAAAGUGUCGCUCAAGGUUCUGAAAAGUCACUUACCAACAAUGCAGAUAUCAAAGCUUAAGUUUUACUUUUGGAAUGUUAGUAGGAGGAUAACUGGUGUUGUACUUUAUCUAUGUUUUGUAUUUCUGCAACAAUGUUAAAUGUUGUUCUGUGGCUGUAAAGGAAAUAAGCUCUCUGCAGGUGAUGGGAUGGAUGAUCUUUAUGAACCACCCGUGCUGACUGCCUGACUGUGUUUACACACUUUUUAGUUUUAGUGGAGAUGGAGGGUAUAUGUAUUAGUUGGAUACUCAUAACUUGGAAGUGUUUUUGAGAUUGAGUUUCCCGACUCAUAGACCAGCUUGUUUGGAGACUGGAGAACCACUUGAUAUCGAACAUCUUUCAUACGAUGUAUCUCCACUUUCCAGGUAAUUUGCAUAUUCAUGCUUCUCAGCCUCCCAGUAAGUACAUUUGCAUUUCCGUUCCAUAUCAAAGUAAUUAAAUGUCAGAAGGAAGCAUACGCUUACGGAGCAUGUCUGCAGAAAAGAUUUUGCACCUUUUUCUGUAUGAACCACCAGUGAACUCUGAGGUGUGUGCAGAAAUAUUUGUAAGUUAAUCAAAGGGAAUAUUCUUGAUGCUAAAAUCUUUAUAAUAUAGCUUUUUUCUUCCAUUACAUGUCAUUAUAAUAAAACAAGAUCAAGAUGUUCAUUUUGGUGUGUGUGUUUAUAAUAUUAUAAAAUGAACAUCUAAUUUAUAAUGAUGCUUCUUCAGUCCAAUGUUGCAAAACCUUGAUGAGUAUGUUGUGUGUUUGUUUUGUUGACAAAUUCUGAAAGACAAAAGUUAGAGAAGAGUCACUUGCAUAAGAUAGAAGCAUGGAUAGUAUUCCUUAUUUAUGUAAGUUACAGUUGUAAUUUAAUUCAAAGAAGUGGUUUACCUCUUUUCUUGUGUCAUUAUAAUGUGUUGCUUUCAGGUGCUCUUAUGCUGGAUGAGACAGAUGCUUCUUCGGGAUAAGGACCUGAAGUCAUGGUGAUUGCUGAUCCGGAGUGAGUCACCAUGAAGUAUCUGUGUGUUUUUAGUUUCUUCAUUUGGUUGAGUUGUUGUGACACUUCAAAGCGAUAAAUUUGGAUAUUCUGUCGACAUGGUCGGCUCAAGUUAUAAGGCCCUGGAGAAUGUCGAAGAAGCUGUGAAAAUGUUAGCGCAAUUACUUCAAUAGUUGCACGUCUCCAGCUCUGAUCAUGGAAAGUGCAUUAAGAAGCCGCUUGCUCUGAUCUUGAGAGGAUAAGGAAGCUAAAAAGAGAAGCCGAAUUUUUGGAAGCGUCUUUCAGGGCUAAAGUGGCUUCUCUUCAGCAGGCUCUUAUUCAUUUCUUGUUUAAGCAUUAGCUUUGUUUGGCUUCAAGCCUUAGUUGAGAUAGGAUCAUUAGUGUUAUGGAGAUGAUCAGAUGGGGGUGUUUCAUGGGUAUGAUCACCCGUGGCUAUUUAUUAAUUGUUUUUAGCUUUACAGAGUUGCAUAUUCUCUGACCAAAUUUCUCAUUAUGUGAUUUACAUUCUGCAAAAUUGUUUUUGCACCCUUUCUAUGUGAAAAGUUAUAUCUGCACCGUUUA